rnacentral:rRNA from 1 species
GGAGUCUGGUCCGUGUCUCAGUACCAGUGUGGGGGACCUUCCUCUCAGAACCCCUACUGAUCGUCGCCUUGGUGGGCCGUUACCCCGCCAACAAGCUAAUCAGACGCAUCCCCAUCCUUAACCGACAAAUUCUUUGGUCCGGGUCAGAUGCCCUCGCUGGACCACAUCGGGCAUUAAUCCGGUUUUCACCGGGCUAUUCCCAAGUUAAGGGAAGGUUGGAUACGCGUUACUCACCCGUGCGCCGGUCGCCAUCUAUCAAAGCAAGCUUCGAUAAUGAUGCCCCUCGACUUGCAUGUGUUAAGCCUGUAGCUAGCGUUCAUC